rnacentral:rRNA from 1 species
CCUACGGGCGGCAGCAGUGAGGAAUAUUGGUCAAUGGCCGGAAGGCUGAACCAGCCAAGUCGCGUGAAGGAAGAAGGAUCUAUGGUUUGUAAACUUCUUUUAUAGGGGAAUAAACGUCUCCACGUGUGGAUUUUUGCAUGUACCCUAUGAAUAAGCAUCGGCUAACUACGUGCCAUCAGCCGCGGUAAUACGGAGGAUGUGAGCGUUAUCCGGAUUUAUUGGGUUUAAAGGGUGCGUAGGUUGUUUUUUAAGUCAGCUGUGAAAGUUUGUGGCUCAACCAUAAAAUUGCAGUUGAAACUGGAAGACUUGAGUGUGUUUGAGGUAGGCGGAAUGCGUGGUGUAGCGGUGAAAUGCAUAGAUAUCACGCAGAACACCGAUUGCGAAGGCAGCUUACUAGGCCAUAACUGACACUGAGGCACGAAAGCGUGGGGAUCAAACAGGAUUAGAUACCCGAGUAGUC